GAUUAGUGGCGAACGGGUGAGUAACACGUGGGCAAUCUGCCCUUCACUCUGGGACAAGCCCUGGAAACGGGGUCUAAUACCGGAUAAUACUUUCUCUCUCAUGGGGGAAGGUUAAAAGCUCCGGCGGUGAAGGAUGAGCCCGCGGCCUAUCAGCUAGUUGGUGGGGUAAUGGCCUACCAAGGCGACGACGGGUAGCCGGCCUGAGAGGGCGACCGGCCACACUGGGACUGAGACACGGCCCAGACUCCUACGGGAGGCAGCAGUGGGGAAUAUUGCACAAUGGGCGAAAGCCUGAUGCAGCGACGCCGCGUGAGGGAUGACGGCCUUCGGGUUGUAAACCUCUUUCAGCAGGGAAGAAGCGAAAGUGACGGUACCUGCAAAAGAAGCGCCGGCUAACUACGUGCCAGCAGCCGCGGUAAUACGUAGGGCGCAAGCGUUGUCCGGAAUUAUUGGGCGUAAAGAGCUCGUAGGCGGCUUGUUGCGUCGGUUGUGAAAGCCCGGGGCUUAACCCCGGGUCUGCAGUCGAUACGGGCAGGCUAGAGUGUGGUAGGGGAGAUCGGAAUUCCUGGUGUAGCGGUGAAAUGCGCAGAUAUCAGGAGGAACACCGGUGGCGAAGGCGGAUCUCUGGGCCAUUACUGACGCUGAGGAGCGAAAGCGUGGGGAGCGAACAGGAUUAGAUACCCUGGUAGUCCACGCCGUAAACGUUGGGAACUAGGUGUUGGCGACAUUCCACGUCGUCGGUGCCGCAGCUAACGCAUUAAGUUCCCCGCCUGGGGAGUACGGCCGCAAGGCUAAAACUCAAAGGAAUUGACGGGGGGCCCGCACAAGCAGCGGAGCAUGUGGCUUAAUUCGACGCAACGCGAAGAACCUUACCAAGGCUUGACAUCGCCCGGAAAGCCGUAGAGAUACGGCCCCCCUUGUGGUCGG
rnacentral:rRNA from 1 species